GAAACGGGAACCCGGCACCGCGCGAGCGGGUCGGACCGGGGGUUCCUCACCGAGAGGCGAGGCGGCA
rnacentral:sRNA from 1 species